GAAAUAUGAAGUUUGGACGUUUCAGAUCCUGAAUCCCAGCAGCCCCCCCCAGUCAUCACUAACUUUAACACUGUAUAAAUAUAUAGAUAAAAAUAAUUAUAAAUAGUUUACUUUAUGUGAAACGUUUUAGCAUCUUUUUAGUUUAGCUCGGCCGGAAAAACGUGCAAAUUAAAGUCAUGUGAAGGUUGUAGAGCUAAAAUAAGUUAUUAAUUAGUCAAUUAACAGAUAAUUAAACUGUUUUGAUAAUUGAUUUAUCAUACAAGUAAAACUUUAAGCAAAAAUGCCAAACUGAUCUGCGCCCAGUUAACAAAUGUUUGGUUUUUCUUUGUCGCGCUCGAUGGUGAACUGAAUACAUUUGAUAAUAAACCCAAUUUGAAUCUUUCCUCUUGGGCUUUAAAUUAUGAAAGGGAGACAAAUAUAAACCUGAUCAGAGGAAACAUGAUUCAUGCAUGAAGGAGAUUAAUGUUCAAGAAGUAUCGAGGUUUGAAUUGAAGCUGCAGCGGGAGAACGUUUUCCAGUGUGAAAGGAAGAAGUGAAGCUUGAGUGUGAACAUCCUGCAGCCUGUUCUCCUUCUGUAUAUCUCUGUAUAUAGAUGUAAUGGUGGGGCGGGGGGGCGGGGGGGCACUGUUGCAUUUGUGGAAACGGGACAAGUCUCCGCUCUGGUCUCUUCUUUGCUUCUGCUACUAAUCCUGUGCGUGGUGUCCUGUCCUGUGCAUCUGACAGUUUGUCUUUCUUAACUUCUAAUAAAAGCUAAACUCUCUGCUCACCUCCACCCGAGCCUGUCGCCUCUUUGUGUUUCUCUCUCUCUUCUCUCUCGAGCUUCAGACUGUCUCAGCUCCUCUGUGUUAACCGACUGGAGGAGGAGGAGCAAAGACUAACUCCUCACACGACCAUGUCCCUGGGAACUUCAUCUGGAGUUAAAUAUGGACAAAAGAACUAAAUAUUCAAGCAACAAUACGAGAGAAUAAAAGUCGAGACUUCCUCUUUGUUCAUUACCUUCAAAAUAAAAUACAAACUUUUAGACCUGGGAACAAGAUUCCUGUGUUUCCUGUUUUCAUCUCAGUCUAAAGACCAGGAGAGAAGAAACUAAUGAACUGGCUGUUCCACUCCAAUCCAACAGGCGGCAGUAAUGCACAAUUCUACAAAAUAUAAACUUAAUCAUUAUGACCCGUGAUCCAAUUCCUGUUGAAGAACAACUGAAAGAAACUAAACGCAGCUUCACGUUUAUAAUGUUUAUAGCUUCACAUGAUAAUAAUCAUAAUAAAAUGAAAACCAGUCCAAGUUGAACUAAUAGAUGUUUGAAGUGAUGAAUGUUACUGGAGCAGCUCAGAGACUCUGCUCAGUGACUCAGGUGUUUUAUUUUGUUAACCCUUAUUUUGAAGGUAAGUGACACGACAAUCACAGUAAUGAUAAAUAAUCAUAAAUCAUGAACUUUGUUGAUACAAGUUAAACAUGAAUAACUGAAAAGCAGUUUGAAGGUCACACAACAUCACAUCAGGGCGGAGACAUAAUAAAAUGUUACAGAUGAGAAAAUGAUAAAAACCUGAUUCAUAAACUCUGUUACACAUCCUCGGUCUGGAAGUACGACGCCCAGUUCAUCCAAUCAGCAGCUCCACUGGUUUCUUAACGAGCGUGCACGUGCAUCACUGCACCGUGUAAUUCUGCACGAGAGAUUGUGCACUUUGUAUGCAUUGUACAAACGUGUGUGUGUGUGUGUAUUUGCAUUUGAAAAGUGUUUCCUGAUCUUAAAUUCAACACAUCAUGGUCCCUGAAUCACUGAAUCUGCUCCGAACUGAAUCCACAGUAGAUCACAUGUCAGUUCAGUCCAGUUUCACUGAUCACUCACUAUCUGUCCUGUUAAGUUCUGUUAAUGUGCUGAUUUCAUCAAGAUCCAUGAAUCAUCAAAGAAAAUCUGUGAAAACUUUUAAAAACUCUUCAUCUCACAAAGUUAAAGGAAGUGAAGAUGAAACUAAAUCCUGGAUCUGCUCCGAACUUUAGUGGAUUCUCUCCUGACUCCACAUCGGAUCCUCAUCCUUUUGUGAAAUCUUUCUAACAAACAAACAAACAAACCAACAAACAAACAAUCAGACGGGGGUGAAAACAUAACCUCCUUGGCAGAUGGAGCAGAAAGUUCCAGAUCCCUGUGAACAGCAGUGUUUCUCCUGCAUGUCGACUUCUUUAAGAUCUGCACCAGGACAAACACUGUUGUCAAUAUGCUGUGUGUGUUAGUUUGUGUGUGUGUGUGUGUGUGUGUGUGUAACCCCGUGACCUCUGCCAUCAGGACGGCUCCGGCGCCCUGAAGAGAAGCGGCUCCUUCAGCAAACUGCGAGCGUCGAUCCGUCGCAGCAGCGAGAAGCUCGUCCGGAAGCUGAAGGGUGGAGGAUCGACGCGAGACAGCGAGCCCAAAAACCCAGGCAUGAAGCGAGCCAGCUCUCUGGGCGUUCUUAACGUGGCGGACAAGGCUGCGAGCGACCACUACCAAGAACGAAAUAAUCGUCUGAGGAUGAGUCGCGACCUGAGCGCCUCCCACACCGACCUGGCGCUGUGAAGGUCGCUCCACGAGGACGAGGUGAGGGGCGGAGCCUGAGAGGUCACCGAGGUCACGAGAGAGCUCCGUCGCUCAUCCAAACUUCAGCCCCCC